rnacentral:rRNA from 1 species
GACGAACGCUGGCGGCGUGCUUAACACAUGCAAGUCGAACGGAAAGGCCCUGCUUUUGUGUGGUGCUCGAGUGGCGAACGGGUGAGUAACACGUGUGUAACCUGCCCUUGACUUUGGGAUAACUUCAGGAAACUGGGUCUAAUACCCGAUAAGAGCUCCUGCUGCAUGGUGGGGUUUGGUAAGUUUCGGCGGUUGGGGAUGGACUCGCUGGUUUUCAGAUUGUUGGUGGGGUAGUGGCUUACCAAGGCUUUGACGGGUAGCCGGCCUGAGAAGGUGACCCGCCACAAUGGGACUGAGAGACGGCACAGACUCCUACGGGAGGAAGCAGUGGGGAAUAUUGCACAAUGGGCGGAAGGCUGAUGAAGAAAAGCAGCGUGCGGGAUGACGGCCUUCGGGUUGUAAACAGAUUUAGAAUGUGACGAAGAGUGAGUGACGGUAAUGGGUAAAGAAGCACCGGCUAACUACGUG